AGCCCACCGGUGCUGCCGCCGAAGAUUGGGGAUGGGGUUGUUGGGUCCAGUUCCGGUGGGGUGAAGCCAACUGGAGCUUCGGCCUCCUUUGUGGGCGCCACGGUUUUCUCUUCAGCAGCUGAGAUCCUCAUGGGUCUUGAUGCCACAGUGGAGAGGGUCAGUGACUUGGGGGCCAUGAAGGUGGAGGUGACUGACUGUUUCCAUGGGGCUGAGGCAGUUGGGGUGAAGAGGGUGGCUUGAGUUGCCAUGGCCAUGACUUAGGGCAGGGGGGAGAGAGAAGAGACUGAGGGUUGUGGUGUGGUACAAACUUGUUUUUUAGGUUAUGG
rnacentral:lncRNA from 1 species